ACGAAAAACCUGUCCGGACCCGAGCCAUAAAGAAACUGCGGAAAUAUCUCAGCAUCAGAUCACAGAAACCAACAGGUGGGUUUAGUAAUGAUGAACUGCUCAAGAUAUGGAAAGGCCUUUUCUACUGCAUGUGGAUGCAAGACAAGCCUCUUUUGCAAGAAGAAUUGGCAGCUGUUAUUUCUCGGCUGAUACAUUCCUUGCAGAAGUCUGAUGCCCAGUAUUUAUUUCUAGAGACCUUCCUUCAGACCAUGAAUCGGGAAUGGAAUGGCAUAGACAGACUGCGCCUUGAUAAAUUUUACAAGCUCAUCCGAAUGGUUUUAAGGCAGUCUUUUGAAAUGCUGAAGAGGGGA